AGACCCGAAACCCGGUGAUCUAGCCAUGGGCAGGUUGAAGGUUGGGUAACACUAACUGGAGGACCGAACCGACUAAUGUUGAAAAAUUAGCGGAUGACCUGUGGCUGGGGGUGAAAGGCCAAUCAAACCGGGAGAUAGCUGGUUCUCCCCGAAAGCUAUUUAGGUAGCGCCUCGUGAAUUCAUCUCCGGGGGUAGAGCACUGUUUCGGCUAGGGGGCCAUCCCGGCUUACCAACCCGAUGCAAACUGCGAAUACCGGAGAAUGUUAUCACGGGAGACACACGGCGGGUGCUAACGUCCGUCGUGAAGAGGGAAACAACCCAGACCGCCAGCUAAGGUCCCAAAGUCAUGGUUAAGUGGGAAACGAUGUGGGAAGGCCCAGACAGCCAGGAUGUUGGCUUAGAAGCAGCCAUCAUUUAAAGAAAGCGUAAUAGCUCACUGGUCGAGUCGGCCUGCGCGGAAGAUGUAACGGGGCUAAACCAUGCACCGAAGCUGCGGCAGCGACACUCAGGUGUUGUUGGGUAGGGGAGCGUUCUGUAAGCCUGCGAAGGUGGCCUGUGAGGGUUGCUGGAGGUAUCAGAAGUGCGAAUGCUGACAUAAGUAACGAUAAAGCGGGUGAAAAGCCCGCUCGCCGGAAGACCAAGGGUUCCUGUCCAACGUUAAUCGGGGCAGGGUGAGUCGACCCCUAAGGCGAGGCCGAAAGGCGUAGUCGAUGGGAAACGGGUUAAUAUUCCCGUACUUGGUGUUACUGCGAAGGGGGGACGGAGAAGGCUAUGUUGGCCGGGCGACGGUUGUCCCGGUUUAAGCGUGUAGGUGUGUGUUCCAGGUAAAUCCGGUUCACUUUAACACUGAGGCGUGACGACGAGGCACUACGGUGCUGAAGCAACAAAUGCCCUGCUUCCAGGAAAAGCCUCUAAGCAUCAGGUAACAUCAAAUCGUACCCCAAACCGACACAGGUGGUCAGGUAGAGAAUACCAAGGCGCUUGAGAGAACUCGGGUGAAGGAACUAGGCAAAAUGGUGCCGUAACUUCGGGAGAAGGCACGCUGACAUGUAGGUGAAGUGAUUUACUCAUGGAGCUGAAGUCAGUCGAAGAUACCAGCUGGCUGCAACUGUUUAUUAAAAACACAGCACUGUGCAAACACGAAAGUGGACGUAUACGGUGUGACGCCUGCCCGGUGCCGGAAGGUUAAUUGAUGGGGUCAGCGCAAGCGAAGCUCCUGAUCGAAGCCCCGGUAAACGGCGGCCGUAACUAUAACGGUCCUAAGGUAGCGAAAUUCCUUGUCGGGUAAGUUCCGACCUGCACGAAUGGCGUAAUGAUGGCCAGGCUGUCUCCACCCGAGACUCAGUGAAAUUGAACUCGCUGUGAAGAUGCAGUGUACCCGCGGCAAGACGGAAAGACCCCGUGAACCUUUACUAUAGCUUGACACUGAACAUUGAGCCUUGAUGUGUAGGAUAGGUGGGAGGCUUUGAAGUGUGG
rnacentral:rRNA from 3 species